UCCUUUACUUUCUCGCUAAAUUCCACUGGCAUUUUCAGUUGAAUAACUUCUCAGCUGGCAUGUCUGUUUCUGCACAUGAAAUUUUACACAAUGGCAACGUGACCCUAUUAUUUAUCUGUUUCUAGAUGUAGUAGUUUUACUG